UACGGAGGAUGCGAGUGUUAUCCGGAAUCACUGGGCGUAAAGCGUCUGUAGGUUGUUUGCUAAGUCUGCUGUUAAAGCUUGAAGCUCAACUUCAAAAAUGCAGCGGAAACUAGUAGACUUGAGUGUGGUAGGGGUAGAGGGAAUUUCCAGUGAGGUGGUGAAAUGCGUAGAUAUUGGAAAGAACACCAACGGCGAAAGCACUCUGCUGGGCCGACACUGACACUGAGAGACGAAAGCUAGGGGAGCGAAUGGG
rnacentral:rRNA from 1 species